rnacentral:tRNA from 1 species
CAGAGUAUAGCUUAAUAAAAGCAUUUUGUUUACACCAAAAAAAUAUCCAUUUAGAUUAUUCUGA